AUGACGAGCUUCCCGUUAUGAUUAUAUUUUGGCCUUCAUCUCUGUUCCACAUCACAAGCUUUUUGCUUAAAAGACAUCCCAAUUUGAAAGUGUAACAAUUUUUUUCAUGAAAGAUUAGAUCCCUUUUUUCGGUUACCGGGUCUCUUGCUUUUCCUUCUUCAAAUCUCUAGCAAUUAUGAUUCAUUGAAAAAUAAAUAAAUCAAGAGCCUUUUCCAUAUCUCUUCCUCCGCACUGAACCUCUCGAUCUGAUAAACCAAAGUAAGGAAAUCUCUGCAAUGUUGGAAGCACUUAGAAGCAGCAUCCAAAAGUUCAACGAGCUAAAAUACACUCGCAUAUCUGAACUAGAAGAACCCAGUGCGCGCAUCUGCUUAUACUCAACCUCGAAAAGUUCAUCGCUCUUGCCCUUUUCCAGAUUUGUAACUUUUUAGCAUCAAUUUCUGAUUUUGUGAUGUUUUUGUCGAUUUCGUUUGAACUUCAUGUUGAUUUUGCUGCGAUUGUGUUGAGUUUUUUUCUUGUUUGUUAUGGAUUUCACGGAAUUUAGUUUUUAUUUUUAUUUUUUUUAUUUGUAAGGUUAUAUGUUGUGAGAUUAGGGUUUUGAGGGAUCAAAUCUUUGGGAGGAUUUGAGCAGAGUUAGGAGUUCAGAUUGGUUUAAAUGUGUCAGGGUAUACAAGUAAUCGAGGAACUAAUUGGAAUAGAUUGAAUUUGGUUAGUUUGUGUGUUUCUUCUGUGAAAUUAGUACGGUAUGAAUGCAAGAACUAUUGUUGUAAUGUGAUUAGUCAUACUUGAUUUUGUUAGUUUCUUUGUUUGAUGUGAAGUCUAUUAAUUCCAUAUUUCUACUGGUUCUACAAAUGUUGGAUUUGUACUCAGCUUGAGCCAAAUGCAAAGGUCUCGUUGUAUUCUCUAAUGCAUCUAGGAAGGGCCUAUGAAAAUUAGGUAGAGCCAGAGCCAAAUAGGGGAAGUAAAUAAUGAUAAUUUGGUCAUAGGUUUCAAGUUAAGGGUAAAUAUUUUGAAAAUAGAAAUUAACAAUUUUCUUUUAUGAUUGUAGUUGUAGUACUAAGUUACUUAUUAAAGUUUGGUGUGAUGGGUACUUCCCGUCUUGCAGAAGAGAAUUUAUUUUUCUGAUUUAGAUUCCGUUAUAGGAGCUCAUGUUGAGUUAUACUGGUUUGCAUUGGAGUGUUUUUGGUUUUGCUGCUGCUCCUGGUUUGUUCAAUUCCGUUUUUCUCUUAUUGGGAGUCAUUUUUCAUUUUUCAUAUUCUGUUUUGCUCUUACUGGUGACUGUUUAAGAAUUUUUUAUUUUAUUUGGGUAUAAGUAUCAUUUGUAAUCUUCUGUGUAAUGUGAUAUAUUGUCUACAAGACACGUGCAUUUUUCUUCCCCGAGCCUGAUCUUAUGUUUACAUUCUAUUGCAGUAUCUUUAUGAGAACAAAAAGUUGAUCCUAGCUAUAUUGGACAAUCAAAACCUUAGGAAGCUCACUGAGUGUGCUUAAUAGGAUUCAAUGGUGGUGUUCCAAUAGCUGAGGAAUUAUUUAUCCAGAACAUAGCUGGCAAGCAUAAUGAUGACAUUUACCAGGGCUCUCUUCCCUGAUGACUUCGAGCAGGCUUGAAAUUCACAGAUCAGAAGGUAGCUUAUUUCAGGAGGAACACCCUAUGUACGAUGAUUAAUUACCAAAUUGUUGUUGGGCAUGAAUCAGAAGGUGGCAUUACUCCCACAACGGGUGACGAAUCACAAGGUUUAUACUCCGAGGACUGCGCCUUAUGCUAGUGAGGAAAUUGACGUGGUUCGUGAGCAAUGGGCGAAGUUUUUUACCAGCAAGUAUUUAUUAUUGACCUGAGCGCGCUUGAUCGAGUUGGUUUAGAUGUUAUAGAACAAUCUUUUAUGUUAAAAUGUAUGCGUACGUUGAAAUUGGAACGUACAUAUAUUUAUUUAAAUGUAUAUGGUAUGUGCACUUUGGUUUUGAGAUAUAUACAAAACACCUGUUAUUGUUUUUA